rnacentral:lncRNA from 1 species
GACAUAUAGAACUAUUAAAAGAGUGUGCGGAGUUGGAAACUUGAAUUCUUAUUUUUACUCAGUCUCCUCUAACUACUUUCCUGCAAAGCUAGCAGUGACUUGUGGUUCUUUGUUCAUUAGAGUUGCUGAUUAGAUGAGCAUCUUUAUGUAUUUGGUGGCUUUUUAUAUCUCAGUUUACGCUCUUUCCUUCUUUGUAUUGUGAUAUCAUAUUCUAUUUUUGUGUGGCAU